AUGGCAAGUAAUACUGAAAGCGCCUUAUUCAACGGAAAAACAAAUUUUCUAAGGAAACGAGACUUUUUUUUAAUUCACAGAGUCUUUAUAAGCAAGGGAUAAAAUUUUCUUGUAAAAUUGAAUUCUAGCGGUAAAGAAAUAUAUAAAUUUGAUAAUAAUUUUUACAAUUGUGGUGGAAUGGUGGGUUAAUAAGGAGAAAUGUCAAAACGUAAACAAGUGACA